rnacentral:piRNA from 1 species
UUUAAUGUUGCAACUACAGGAGUGGUGUU